AUGGUGUUCAAGCUAGAUUUCCAGAAAGCCUUCGACUCUGUUGCCUGGCCCGCACUUGACAAGAUCCUCCUCGCCCGGGGUUUCUCCCACAUCUUCCGCAACUGGAUCCAGAACAUCCUUGCUACAGGAAAAACUACCAUUCUUCUCAAUGGAGUCCCAGGCAACUGGAUCGAUUGCAAAAGUGACCUACGCCAGGGCGACCCAAUCUCCCCCUACCUCUUUCUCAUCGUAGCAGACCUGCUCCAGCAACUUAUCUUCAGAAACACACACGCCUCGCUCCACCACCCCAUCUUCUCUCAUCCCCCCCCCACCGUUCUCUAG
rnacentral:rRNA from 1 species